rnacentral:misc_RNA from 1 species
GGAAGUAAAAGUGUAACAGGGUUUCCGUAGGUGAACCUGCGGAAGGAUCAUUAUUGGAUUUUGAAACUUCAGGCUGCUGCUGGCUCUCCUCGGAGGGCAUGUGCACGCUUGUUGUCCAUUAUUUCUCCCACUGUGCACAAAUUGUAGACCUUUCAGUAGGCCUAUGUUGUUUUUCACAAUCUCUGAAUGUAAUAGAAUGGUUUUGAAUCUUGGGAAAUACAAUACAACUUUCAGCAACGGAUCUCUUGGCUCUC